UACGGAGGGUGCAAGCGUUAUCCGGAUUUACUGGGUUUAAAGGGUGUGUAGGCGGACUUUUAAGUCUGGGGUGAAAUCUCCGAGCUCAACUCGGAAACUGCCUUGGAUACUAUUAGUUUUGAAUUAUGUUGAGGUUGGCGGAAUAUAACAUGUAGCGGUGAAAUGCAUAGAUAUGUUAUAGAACACCGAUUGCGAAGGCAGCUAACUAAGCAUAUAUUGACGCUGAGGCACGAAAGCGUGGGGGAUCAAACAGG
rnacentral:rRNA from 1 species